GAUGAACGCUGGCGGCGUGCCUAACACAUGCAAGUCGAACGAUGAAGCCCAGCUUGUUGGGUGCAUUAGUGGCGAACGGGCGAGUAACUCGCGCGUAACCUCCCCUUCACUCUGGGUUAAGCCUGGUAAACUGGGCCUAAUACUGGAUAUGACUUCUCAUCGCAUGGUGGGGGGUGGAAAGAUUUAGUGGUCUUGGGUGGACUCGCGGCUUAUCCGCUUGUUGGUGAGGUAUUGAUUCACUAAGGCGACGCCGGGUAGCCGGUCUGAGAGGGUGACCGGCCACUGUAGGGCUAAGAGACGCCGCAGGAUCCUUCUGGGGGCAACGGUGGGGAAUAUUGCGCAGUGGGCGCGAGGCUGAUGCAGGGGCGCCGCGAGCGGGAUGACGGCCUUCGGGUUGAAAACCUCUUUGAGUAGGAAAGUAGCGAGAGUGACGGUACCUGCAGAGAAAGCGCCGGCUAACUACGUG
rnacentral:rRNA from 1 species